AACACACUUCUGGAAAAUUCCAAAAACACUGCAGAGAAGGAUCUUUCUAUUCAAAGAUAUGCUGUCAUUCCAUUGUCUCCAAACAGCGGAUUAAUAGGAUGGGUACCAAAUUGUGACACCCUGCACCAUCUCAUUUGGAGUAUAGAGAUGCUAGAACGGUCUGCUAAGGUUCAUUUGAUGCUUUGUGUGUGUGUGUGUGUGUCUGCGUACAUUUCGUCUAAUUUUUUGUGCAUGUUUUUGGAAUAUAGAUCUCCUUAAAUCUAGAGCACAAACAUAUGCUUAAUUUUUCUAAAGAUUAUGACCAUUUGCCACUUAUAGCUAAAGUGGAGGUGUUUGAGUGUGCUCUGCAAAAUAGUGAAAGAAAUGACCUGGCAAGGGUGUUUUGGUUAAAAAGUCGCACUUCUAAGAAUGGGCUGGACAGGAGGACAAAUUAUACUAGAAGCUUGGCUGUCAUAAGCAUGGUAUCAUUUUUCUUCUCGUAUUAUUUAGAUUUUUUUCUCAAGACUAGCAGGAUCCGGCUGUAUAUGUUUCCACAAAAUCAACACAAUAUGGCUCCCAUGUAUGAUCUUAUUUGUUAACCUUUUAUGCUUUAGAAAUGUUUAGAUAAGAGAUUGUUUCGAAGUGAAUGUAUGUUAUUUGAUUAUACUUUUCUUUCUUUGGUUAGAAUGAUAUACUAAGAAGGAACCCGGCAAAUGGUGUUUGAUUCUGUGCAUUGACUUGGUUCUGCUCUUGGGUUCAAUGCCUGUUUGUUACUGACUAUAUAGUAAGAUCAUUUUUUUCCCCCUGUGAAAUAUGGCAUAAAAUUGGAGUAAUGAAGGCAUACAAUUUGCAUACUGGCAUCAUACUUGUCAUUGAUCAUCCCUUUUUCUUGACAUAUAUGUUCUUAGGAUUAAUAUUUUUUUGCAUCUACAAGGAUAUGGCAAAAGGUCACAAUUAAAUAAAGAUCUU